rnacentral:tRNA from 1 species
GAGAGAGGCUGGCUAGCAACGAACACUGCUAAUUUUCGCCCCUCUGGUUGAACUCCAGAGCUCACUCG